rnacentral:rRNA from 1 species
AGUAACACGUGAAUCAUCUACCUCCGAGUGGGGAAUAACCUAGAGAAAUCUGGGCUAAUACCGCAUAACACUUACGAGUCAAAGCAGCAAUGCGCUUGGAGAGGAGUUCGCGGCAGAUUAGUUAGUUGGCGGGGUAAUGGCCCACCAAGACGAUGAUCUGUAUCCGGCCUGAGAGGGCGCACGGACACACUGGAACUGAAACACGGUCCAGACUCCUACGGGAGGCAGCAGUGGGGAAUUUUGCGCAAUGGGGGAAACCCUGACGCAGCAACGCCGCGUGGAGGAUGAAAUAUCUUGGUAUGUAAACUCCUUUCGAUGGGGAAGAUAAUGACGGUACCCAUAGAAGAAGCCCCGGCUAACUUCGUGCCAGCAGCCGCGGUAAUACGAGGGGGGCAAGCGUUGUUCGGAAUUAUUGGGCGUAAAGGGUGCGUAGGCGGUUUGACAAGUCUUAUGUGAAAUCUAUGGGCUCAACCAUAGUCUGCAUGGGAAACUGUCGGGCUUGAGUAUUGGAGAGGUG